UCCCUUGUAGCUCUGUUGGUAAAGAAUCUGCCUGCAAUGCAGGAGACCCAGAUUCGAUUCCUGGGUUGGGAA
rnacentral:tRNA from 1 species